rnacentral:rRNA from 1 species
UACGUAGGGUGCAAGCGUUGUCCGGAAUUACUGGGCGUAAAGAGCUCGUAGGUGGUUUGUCGCGUUGUUCGUGAAAACUCACAGCUCAACUGUGGGCGUGCGGGCGAUACGGGGCAGACUAGAGUACUGCAGGGGAGACUGGAAUUCCUGGUGUAGCGGUGGAAUGCGCAGAUAUCAGGAGGAACACCGGUGGCGAAGGCGGGUCUCUGGGCAGUAACUGACGCUGAGGAGCGAAAGCGUGGGGAGCGAACAGG